AGAGUUUGAUCCUGGCUCAGAACGAACGCUGGCGGCAGGCUUAACACAUGCAAGUCGAGCGCCCCGCAAGGGGAGCGGCAGACGGGUGAGUAACACGUGGGAACCUUCCUAGAGGUACGGAACAACUCAGGGAAACUUGAGCUAAUACCGUAUACGCUCUUGCGAGGAAAGAUUUAUCGCCUUUAGACGGGCCCGCGCCGGAUUAGCUAGUUGGUGGGGUAACGGCCUACCAAGGCGACGAUCCGUAGCUGAUCUGAGAGGAUGAUCAGCCACACUGGGACUGAGACACGGCCCAGACUCCUACGGGAGGCAGCAGUGGGGAAUCUUGGACAAUGGGCGCAAGCCUGAUCCAGCCAUGCCGCGUGAGUGAAGAAGGCCUUCGGGUUGUAAAGCUCUUUUACCAGGGACGAUAAUGACGGUACCUGAGAAUAG
rnacentral:rRNA from 1 species